rnacentral:rRNA from 1 species
CCUACGGGUGGCAGCAGUGAGGAAUAUUGGUCAAUGGGCGAGAGCCUGAACCAGCCAAGUCGCGUGAGGGAGUACUGCCCUAUGGGUUGUAAACCUCUUUUGUCGGGGAGCAAAAGCCGGACGUGUCCGGCUGUGAGAGUACCCGAAGAAAAAGCAUCGGCUAACUCCAUGCCAGCAGCCGCGGUAAUACGGAGGAUGCGAGCGUUAUCCGGAUUUAUUGGGUUUAAAGGGUGCGCAGGCGGAUUUUUAAGUCAGCGGUAAAAUCGUGGGGCUCAACCCCAUCCAGCCGUUGAAACUGGGGAUCUAGAGUGUGCGAGAGGUAUGCGGAAUGCGUGGUGUAGCGGUGAAAUGCAUAGAUAUCACGCAGAACCCCGAUUGCGAAGGCAGCAUACCGGUGCACAACUGACGCUCAGGCACGAAAGCGUGGGUAUCGAACAGGAUUAGAUACCCCUGUAGUC